GGGAUUAAUCGCCGAUUAAUCGCUGUUCGGUCGGCCACCGUCUCGAUUAAGCGUUAAUCGGUGAAAAAAUCGUUUUUUUAGGAAAUCGGCCAAAAUCGGGAUUAAUCGGUCAAAAGUCGGGAUUAAUCGGAAAAAGUCGGUCAAAAAUCGGUGAAUUUAAAAAAAUUAAAAUAAAAAGAAUUUUUUUUUAAAACUUUAAAUUUAAUUACCUUUCAUUCUUUUAAUAUUAGCUUCUAAACUAUAAUUACAUAAAUUUGCAAUAUCUUCUUUCGCAGAAUUAAUUAAAUUCAAGUUUAUAUAUGAGAUGACUGGACUUGUAUAUGUAUAUAAAGGCAU
rnacentral:lncRNA from 1 species